UACGUAGGUGACAAGCGUUGUCCGGAUUUACUGGGCGUAAAGAGCGCGCAGGCGGUCGUUCAAGUCGAGUGUGAAAGCCCCCGGCUCAACUGGGGAGGGUCAUUCGAUACUGAUCGACUCGAAGGCAGGAGAGGGAAGUGGAAUUCCCGGUGUAGUGGUGAAAUGCGUAGAUAUCGGGAGGAACACCAGUGGCGAAGGCGGCGACCUGGGCCAAUACUGACGCUGAGGUGCGAAAGCGUGGGGAGCAAACAGG
rnacentral:rRNA from 1 species